UCAUGUAAAGGAGCAAUUCGCUUUGAGAGGGGUCCGCGGCUGAUUAGCUAGUUGGUGAGGUAAUGGCUCACCAAGGCAUCGAUCAGUAGCCGGUCUGAGAGGACGGUCGGCCACACUGGAACUGAGACAGGGUCCAGACUCCAUACGGGAGGCAGCAGUGGGGAAUUUUUUGGCAAUGGGGGAAACCCUGACCAAGCAACGCCGCGUGGAUGAUGAAGUAUCUUGGUACGUAAAAUCCUUUCGACGGGGACGAAACCGCAAGGUUGACGGUACCCGUAGAAGAAGCCCCGGCUAACUCCGUGCCAGCAGCCGCGGUAAUACCGGGGGGGGCAAGCGUUGUUCGGAAUUACUGGGCGUAAAGGGCGCGUAGGCGGGCCAGCGC
rnacentral:rRNA from 1 species